rnacentral:rRNA from 1 species
CCUACGGGUGGCAGCAGUGGGGAAUAUUGCACAAUGGGGGAAACCCUGAUGCAGCGACGCCGCGUGAGGGAAGAAGUAAUUCGUUAUGUAAAGCUCUAUCAGCAGGGAAGAAAAUGACGGUACCUGAGUAAGAAGCCACGGAUAACUACGUGCCAGCAGCCGCGGGAAUAAGUAGGGGGCAAGCGUUCACCGGAUUUACUGGGUGUAAAGGGAGCGUAGAAGGCAGUGCAAGUCUGGAGUGAAAGGGGUGGGGUCAACCCCCGGACUGCUCUGGAAACUGGACGGCUGGAGUGCAGGAGAGGUAAGUGGAAUGCCGGGGGUAGCGGUGAAAUGCGUAGAUAUUAGGAGGAACACCAGUGGCGAAGGCGGCUUACUGGAGUGUAACUGACGUUGAGGCUCGAAAGCGUGGGGAGCAAACAGGAUUAGAUACCCUGGUAGUC